rnacentral:lncRNA from 1 species
CCGUGACGGUGGUUUUGGUCGCCGGAGAGUGGUGGUUGUUUGUUUUAGGGGGUGGCUGAGAUUAGGGUUUUGAGUUGGUCUCACGUGCUCUCAACUCAUGAUCCCCCAAUGUGCCUACGUACCCCUAUAUUUAUAGGGGAUCAAGCCGUACGUAGUUCUAUGGAACCAGGAGUCCUAGUUUGAUCAGGACUAGGCCUCUUGGCGAUAAGGUCGGAGAUAGGCCGAAGGCCCAUCUUGGAGAAUCCUACUCCUGUUAGAAUUAGUCUUGAGUAUGACUACCUCAGACUCCUAAUCCAAAUAGAUCACGGAUUCAACGAUAUCUCCACUACGAGAGAUAGCAUCUACCACGACUCUUAUGGAGAAGUUAUCUGGGGGAGCCAUGACUAACCCCUCGAGGUGCAGGGACACGUCCUCACCUCUCGGUGAGGUCUUC